rnacentral:rRNA from 1 species
AUGAGUUCUAUAAGCCACUUAGUGGAUGACUAGGCUUGGAAGCUGUUGAAGGGCGUGGCAAGCUGCGAUAAGCCACGGCGAGCCGCAUGCAGGCGUUGAACCGUGGAUCCCUGAACUGUUCCGCAAGGAACGGGAACGCCGGGAAUUGAAGCAUCUUAGUACCGGCAGGAAAAGAAAGCAAUAGCGAUUCUGUUAUUAGGGUCGACCGAAGACAGAACAGGACAAACCGAAUCCUUGUGCGCGAGUACAGGGAGAUGUGGGGUUUGGGCUAUAGGUUACAUGCUUUUGUUGCGAGCUGAAGUUUUCUGGAAUGAAACGCCAGAGAUCGUGAAAGCCGAGUAAGCGAAACAACGAAAGAUGAGUCCUUUGUACCCAGAGUAUGGCGCGUCGGAUCUCGCGUCAGAAUAUGCGAGCCAUUAACUCGUAAUCCUAAAUACUCUCCAAGUCCGAUAGCUCACUAGUACCGUGAGGGAAAGUUGAAAAGUACCCUUAACAGGGGGUGAAAAGCGCCUGAAACUAGGUGGCCACAGGCGGACAUUGGCACGGAAGAGUUAAACUUCCGCGAAGCGAAAACCGGAAACGGUCAAGCGAGCGGAAUGAUUCGGUGUUGUGUCGUUCGUCCUGAAACACGAGCGAGGGAGUUGACGGUUGUGGCGAGGUUAAUCCCCGACGGGGAGAAGCCGCAGCGAAAGCGAUUAGCCCACAGUUCAGCAAUGAAUGAGGGGCGGAGUGUGAAUAGCGCUCAAGUCACAUACGUCAGACCUGAAACCAGGUGAUCUAUUCCUUUGCAGGUUGAAGCCCCCCUUCCGGGGGGUGGAGGACCGCAACCAGUGUUAGUCCAACUGCUUGGGUGACAUGGGAAUAGGAGUAAAAUGCCAUUCGAACCUGGUGAUAGCAGGCUCCUUCCGAAGAAGCUCUUAGGCUUGCCCCCGCGGAGGUUUGGAUUGUGGGGUAGAGAUACUGAUUAGGAAGUACCGAUUGGAAACUUUCGGCUUUCUUGUCAAACUCCAAAUCUGCAAUCGCCUUAGAUGCGGGGAGUAGGGGCACGUGGGGUAAACCUCGUGUCCUGAAGGGGAACAACCCAGACCUAGGUUAAGGCCCAAAAGUGCGGAUUAAGUGUUGAUGAAAAAGCGUCCUUUUCCUAAAACAAUGUGGAGGUCGGCUUAGAAGCAGCCAUCCUUUAAAGAAAGCGUAACAGCUCACACAUCUAGGUGAAGGGCCUUGAAAAUUAUCUGGGCUAAAAUCCGCCGCCGAUACCCGGGAAAUCCCUCUGAGAGGGAUAUUUGUUAGGAAGGUGCUCUGAUAGAGUAGAAGCAAGGCAGUAAUGUCUUGUGGAUCUGUUAGAGAUAUGGAUCCUCGUGCUAGUAAUAAUAAAGAGAGGUGAGAAUCCUCUCCGUCGAAAGGGCAAGGGUUCCUUAGCGCUCAUCAUGAGCUAAGGGUUAGUCGGUCCUAAGGCUGUCCGUAACACGGCGCAGCCGAAAGGGAAACGCGUUCAUAUUCGCGUACCUUGCAGAUACAUUUCUCGGCAACGAUAGGCAUGCUCCAGACGCUUAGGGCUAGGGUUAGUACCCCCGUCAGGGUAUUUAACAAGCAUAAGUCCCCGGAGAGCCUUAACGGCGAGAAGGGGAGUAAAGCUUGGAACAGGCGAAAGCUUAACUCGAGGCCUAGAGCCCGUGAAAAUGGAGUGUGCAAGGAUUCUGCAUGACCGUACCAAGAACCGAGAAAGGUGCCCCUGGCUUAAAAGGCCAAGACGUCACAGGGAAUAACUCAAUCUAGGGAAUUCGGCAACGAUAGCCCCGUACCUUCGGUAUAAGGGGUGCCUGCAGUGUAGACUGUAGGUUUCAAUGACAAAGGGAGUCCGACUGUUUAUCAAAAACACAGGUGACUGCUAGCCAGCAAUGGUGAGUAUAGUCGCUGACUCCUGCUCACUGCCAGUACGUGAAACUCCCGUUCAAGGGAACUAAGCGCUGGUAAAGAGCGGGCCUAACUCUGAGGCUCUCAUGGUAGCGUAAUACCUUGGCGGUUGAUUGCCGUCUUGCACCAACGGAGCAACGAGAUUCCCACUGUCCCGGAUUGAGGCCUGAUGAACUCGUCUCGCGGUGAACACGCCGCGGAAUUCCAAUGGGAAGAGAAGACCCCACGGAGGUUUACCACAAUCUGAUGUUGUGGCAUGAUUUUCGAUGUGCAGUGUAGAUGGGAGCGCAGAUGCAAUUUCGCUAGGAAUUGUGGAGCGACAAUGGAACACCAUCCUUUGAAAAUCGUGCCGCUAACCCGGAAGGGAACACCAUUAGACUUGGUGGUUAGGCUGGGGUGGCACGCCCCUGAAAAUGUAUCAGGGGCGCCCAAAGGUGUGCUCAGGAGAGUCAGAAAUUCUCCGUAGAAUGCAAAGGUAAAAGCACGCUUGACCAUGAUUUACACAGCAAGGAUCGUGGAUGCGAAAGCAGGGCUUAGCGAACGUCAGAAGAGCUUUAGUGGCUCUCUGGUCUAACAGUGAACUUACCCUGGGGGUAACUGAGUGGUCGCGGGUGAGAGUUCACAUCGACCCCGCGGUUUGCGACCUCGCCGUCGGCUCUUGGUAUCCUGGCAGUGCAUAAGCUGCCAAGGGUGCAGGUGUUAACUGAUUAAAACCGAACGUUAGUUGGGUUAAGAACGGUGCGAGCCAGUUUGGUUACUAUCUAUUGGAGUUGCCGAGUGUCUGAGGGGAAGGAGCACUGAGUACGAGAGGAACGGUGCUUCGUGGCCACUGGUUAACCAGUUGUCCGACAGGGCAAACGCUGGGUAGCUACGCCAUGGCUCAUAAGAGCUGAAAGCAUCUAAGCUCGAAGGAGCCCCUAAAAAUAGACACUCACUCCGAAAACUCCGCAUGUAAAAGUGCGGAGGCUAUGGACGAGGGCUCCGGCAAAAGACCGGAUUGAUAGGUUGGGGAUGUAAGUUUCAAGCUUCGGCGAGAAAUUAAGUUCACCAAUACUAAAAGCCCGAGAGGGCUCAUAA